GUACUUGCUUCAGCAGUACAGAUACUAAAAUUGGAAUGCUACAGAAAAGAUAAGCAUGCCCCCUGUGCAAGGAUGACACACAAAUUCGUGAAGUGUCUCAUAUUUUU
ensembl:snRNA U6 U6 spliceosomal RNA